rnacentral:rRNA from 1 species
CGCGUAGGCGGUGGGGUAAGUCUGGUGUUAAAUACUUCGGCUCAACCGGAGGUAUGCGCUGGAAACUGUCUUGCUUGAGUGAUGGAGGGGGAGCUGGAAUUCCUGGUGUAGGGGUGAAAUCUGUAGAGAUCAGGAAGAACACCGGAGGCGAAGGCGAGCUCCUGGCCAUUAACUGACGCUGAGGCGCGAAAGCGUGGGGAGCGAACA